CGCUGGCGGCGUGCUUAACACAUGCAAGUCGAACGGUGAACCAGAGCUUGCUCUGGGGAUCAGUGGCGAACGGGUGAGUAACACGUGGGCAACCUGCCCCAGACUCUGGGAUAACCUCGGGAAACCGAUGCUAAUACCGGAUACGACCACUUCGGACAUCCGACGGUGGUGGAAAGUUUUCGGUCUGGGAUGGGCCCGCGGCCUAUCAGCUAGUUGGUGGGGUAAUGGCCUACCAAGGCGACGACGGGUAGCCGGCCUGAGAGGGCGACCGGCCACACUGGAACUGAGACACGGUCCAGACUCCUACGGGAGGCAGCAGUGGGGAAUAUUGCACAAUGGGCGAAAGCCUGAUGCAGCGACGCCGCGUGAGGGACGACGGCCUUCGGGUUGUAAACCUCUUUCAGCAGGGACGAAGCGAAAGUGACUGUACCUGCAGAAGAAGCACCGGCUAACUACGUG
rnacentral:rRNA from 1 species